rnacentral:rRNA from 1 species
UACGUAGGGGGCAAGCGUUGUCCGGAUUUAUUGGGCGUAAAGCGCGUGUAGGCGGCCACGCAGGUCCGCUGUGAAAACUCGAGGCUCAACCUCGAGCUGUCGGUGGAAACCGCGUGGCUAGAGGUCCGGAAGAGGGGACUGGAAUUCCCGGUGUAGCGGUGGAAUGCGCAGAUAUCGGGAGGAACGACCCGUGGCGAAGGCGGGUCCCUGGGACGGUACUGACGCUGAGACGCGAAAGCGUGGGGAGCGAACAGG